rnacentral:rRNA from 1 species
GCUCACUGAUAAUUUAAAGAGCCGCAGUAUCCUAACUGUGCUAAGGUAGCAUAAUCAUUAGUCUUUUAAUUGGAGACUGGUAUGAAUGGCUUAACGAGAAAUUGACUUUUUUUGCUAUUAUAAUUGAAUUUAAUUUUUUAGUGAAAAAGCUAAAAUGUUUCAGAAAGACGAGAAGACCCUAUAGAGUUUUAUAUAAAUUUAUAUCUUUUCUUAAUAGAUUUAAAAAGAAUAAGUAUAAAUAAGUAUUUUGUUGGGGCGACAUUAAGAUAAAUAAAACUCUUUAUUUUUUAAAUUUUUAUAAAAAUAUUUAUGAUCCUUUAAAAGAGAUCAAAAGAAAAAAUUACCUUAGGGAUAACAGCGUAAUCUUUUUUUAGAGUUCUAAUCGACAAAAAGGUUUGCGACCUCGAUGUUGGACUAAAAUUUAGGCAGGGUGCAGCAGUUCUGCUUUUAGGUCUGUUCGACCUAUAAUA